rnacentral:rRNA from 1 species
UACGUAGGGGGGCUAGCGUUGUCCGGAUUUAUUGGGCGUAAAGAGCGUGUAGGCGGCCAGGUAGGUCUGCUGUGAAAACUCGAGGCUCAACCUCGAGACGUCGGCGGAAACCAUCUGGCUAGAGUCCGGAAGAGGAGAGUGGAAUUCCUGGUGUAGCGGUGAAAUGCGCAGAUAUCAGGAAGAACACCCGUGGCGAAGGCGGCUCUCUGGACCGAGACUGACGCUGAGGCGCGAAAGCGUGGGAGCAAACAGG